UACGGAGGGUGCAAGCGUUAUCCGGAAUCACUGGGUUUAAAGGGUGCGUAGGCGGCAUGAUAAGUCAGAGGUGAAAGCUUGCGGCUCAACCGUAAAAUAGCCUUUGAUACUGUUAUGCUUGAAUCAGGUUGAGGUAGGCAGAAUGUGGCAUGUAGCGGUGAAAUGCAUAGAUAUGUCAUAGAAUACCAAUUGCGAAGGCAGCCUGCUGGACCUGCAUUGACGCUGAGGCACGAAAGCGUGGGGAUCAAACAGG
rnacentral:rRNA from 1 species